rnacentral:rRNA from 1 species
GAUGAACGCUGGCGGCGUGCCUAAUACAUGCAAGUCGAGCGAACGGACGAGAAGCUUGCUUCUCUGAUGUUAGCGGCGGACGGGUGAGUAACACGUGGAUAACCUACCUAUAAGACUGGGAUAAAUUCGGGAAACCGGAGCUAAUAACGGAUGAUAUUUUGAACCGCAUGGUUCAAAAGUGAAAGACGGUCUUGCUGUCACUUAUAGAUGGAUCCGCGCUGCAUUAGCGAGUUGGUAAGGUAACGGCUUACCAAGGCAACGAUGCAUAGCCGACCUGAGCGGGUGAUCGCCCACACUGGAACGGAGACACGGUCCAGACUCCUACGAGAGGCCGCAGUAGCGAAUCUUCCGCAAUGGGCGAAAGCCUGACGGAGCAACGCCGCGUGAGAGAUGAAGGUCUUCGGAUCGUAAAACUCUGUUAUUAGGGAAGAACAUAUGUGUAAGUAACUGUGCACAUCUUGACGGUACCUAAUCAGAAAGCCACGGCUAACUACGUG